rnacentral:rRNA from 1 species
UACAGGGGGUGCAAACGUUGCUCGGAAUCAUUGGGCGUAAAGCGCACGUAGGCGGUUCGUUAUGUCGGAUGUGAAAGCCCUUGGCUUAACCGAGGAAGUGCAUCCGAAACUGGCGAGCUAGAGUACUAAAGAGGACCGCGGAAUUCCCGGUGUAGAGGUGAAAUUCGUAGAUAUCGGGAGGAACACCGGUGGCGAAGGCGGCGAUCUGGGUAGAUACUGACGCUGAGGUGCGAAAGCGUGGGGAGCAAACAGG